GACGAACGCUGGCGGCGUGCUUAACACAUGCAAGUCGAACGGUGAUGCUCCAGCUUGCUGGAGUGGAUCAGUGGCGAACGGGUGAGUAACACGUGAGCAACCUGCCCCAGACUCUGGAAUAAGCGCUGGAAACGGCGUCUAAUACUGGAUACGAAACUGGCCCGCAUGGGCAUGGUUUGGAAAGUUUUUCGGUUUGGGAUGGGCUCGCGGCCUAUCAGCUUGUUGGUGAGGUAAUGGCUCACCAAGGCGACGACGGGUAGCCGGCCUGAGAGGGCGACCGGCCACACUGGGACUGAGACACGGCCCAGACUCCUACGGGAGGCAGCAGUGGGGAAUAUUGCACAAUGGGCGAAAGCCUGAUGCAGCGACGCCGCGUGAGGGAUGACGGCCUUCGGGUUGUAAACCUCUUUCAGCAGGGAAGAAGCGAAAGUGACGGUACCUGGAGAAGAAGCACCGGCUAACUACGUG
rnacentral:rRNA from 1 species